CGGACGGGUGAGUAACACGUGGGUAACCUACCUAUAAGACUGGGAUAACUUCGGGAAACCGGAGCUAAUACCGGAUAAUAUUUCGAACCGCAUGGUUCGAUAGUGAAAGAUGGUUUUGCUAUCACUUAUAGAUGGACCCGCGCCGUAUUAGCUAGUUGGUGAGGUAACGGCUCACCAAGGCCACGAUGCAUAGCCGACCUGAGAGGGUGAUCGGCCACAUUGGGACUGAGACACGGCCCAA
rnacentral:rRNA from 1 species